rnacentral:misc_RNA from 1 species
UUGAGUGUUACAACUCCUAAACCCAUUGUGGAUUUUACCAUUUGUUGCUUCGGCAGGAGAGAUUGUCGCUAUAAGGCGUAGUCUCCCUUGCCGAGGGCCUAAAUUCUUUAUUUAGUAGAUUUCUUUCUGAGUAGCACAAUGCAAAUAAAUUA